CUGGCAUCUCCUAAAUCACCUUCCUGUAAAUAGCAGGCAUGGUGUGGGGGAAAUCUCUCUGGAAGACAUUGUUUUUACUUAAACAAGAUCAAACCCCCACCCCACUCCAAGAACCUUUCAUAUGUGAUUUCUAAAGCUGUAAACCCAAGACCCUUUCACUGGUAAUUUCUAAGGCAGUGAACCUAAGAUUUUUCAAUGUGUAAUAUCUAGAGUGUAAGCCUAUAUAAAGGCAGAGCCUCUCUUCCUUUAGACAAAUUGUCGCAUGGCUCCCAGCUGAAAUAAUAAUGAUAAUAAUAAUAAUAACAAUAAACACUUCUUCCUUCCCAGUUCGGUGUUUGAGAGGUCUGUUUCUUGAAGCAGCUCCUGCUUCACUUCUCUGAUGGUAGAAAGCAGUCUUCAGCCUGAGUCCCAUCCCUAGGACCUUGUUUAUUAUUUUUUGUCUUUGAGCAAAAGUUUUUUUCUUCUCAGUUGACGGAAUACUGUUUUCUUCAUAUGCUUCUGCUGUCUCUCCUUUUCUUCCACCUUCUCCUGCAUGUGGUACGUGAAACAGUUUAUAAUAGCCUGUGGCUCCUUAAAGAAAAUGGAGAAGGCACUAGAUUCCUUUUGGGGAGAAACCUGUUUUUUCUUACGGAACCCCAAGAACGUAAACAGAACUCUACAUCCCUGAAGCAGAAGUGGAGGAAAAAAGUGAAUGUUGCAGAGCUGGAGAUUGGCGGGGCAAGUUCAGCAGAGGAUGAAGACAGCUGGAAGCAAUAG
rnacentral:lncRNA from 1 species